GACGAACGCUGGCGGCGUGCCUAAUACAUGCAAGUAGGACGCAGUUGCGAACGGGUGAGUAACGCGUAGGUAACUGCCUAUUAGAGGGGGAUAACUAUUGGAAACGAUAGCUAAUACCGCAUACUAGUAGAUGGACCUGCGUUGUAUUAGCUAGUAGGUAGGGUAAUGGGCUACCUAGGCGACGAUACAUAGCCGACCUGAGAGGGGGAGCGGGCACACUGGGACUGAGAGACGGCCCAGACUCCUACGGGCGGCAGCAGGAGGGAGUAUUCGGGAAUGGGGGGAACGCUGACCGAGCAACGCCGCGUGAGGGAAGAAGGGUUUCGGAGCGUAAAGCGCUGUUGUUAAGGAAGCGGUACUUAACCAGAAGGGGACGGCUAACUACGUGCCAGCAGCCGCGGUAAUAC
rnacentral:rRNA from 1 species